AUGUGCCUCAACCACCUUGAUCGAAGCCCAACGUGGCCUCAGUUGUGGUACUGGCCGAGCUGGUCUGUCCUGCCUAACAGCUUCCACUUACCAGUGCCAGCCUCUCUGUCAUUCCUGGUGUCUGAUCAGACCAGCAGCCUGUGCCAGUUUUGCUGUCUGCUUCCUAACCCAUGCCUCAACCACUCCCGUGGUGGCCUCUUCUGCCAUCACAUUUUCUCUGACACUCUUGAUUUCUGCCUGUGUUGGCCGCAAUCAGCUCAGCUGCUGGUACUUGCAUGGGCCCACGUACUGCUAAAGCCAAAGCACAAGGUUGAUGGUGUUGCCUCUGUUCGCCUGCCUAGGAUUUAAGGCAAAAGAAGCCCACAGAUCAGAGCAGAUACAGCUAAAUUAAACUUCUGUAUGGCCAAAUAGCCCAGUGAAAACAAAAUCAGAGAAAACUGAGCUCCGGGUCUCAAUUAAAACAAAUGAAGAUUGAUGGUGAAUGCAGCAAAAAUGGGUAAAUCCUUUAUCUAUCUAUCGCCUAUCUAUCUAUUUUUAAUUCCAGCAUAAUUAACAUAUAGUGUUACAUUAGUCUCAGGUGUACAAUAUAGUGAUUCAGCAAUUCUGUACAUUACUCAGUGUUCAUUGUGGCAAGUGUACUCUUAAUCCCCUUCACCUAUUUCACUCAUCCCCUCACCAUCUGUUACCAUCAGUUUGUUCUCUGUAGUUAAGAGUUUGUUUUUAAGUUUGUCUUUUUUUCUUCGCUUGCUUGUUUUGUUUCUUAAAUUCCAGGUAUGAAUGAAAUCAUAUGGUAUUUGUUUUCUUUGACUUCUUUCACUUAGCAUUAUACCCUUUAGAUCCAUCCGUGUUGUUGCAAAUGGCAAGAUUUCAUUCUUUUUUAUGGCUCAGUAACAUUCUCAAAAUGGAUAAAUCUUAAAAAUACAAUGUUAAGUAAAAAAAGCAAACUGCAGAAGGAGAUAUGCAAUAUGGUGCUACUUUUUAUAAAAGGUUAAAAUGUUUAUGUAUAUUUUGUUUAGGAAUGCAUACAUAUAUUCUCAAGCUAUAAAAACACGCAUGGGAUGAUAAACACCAAAUUCAUGGUAGUGGUUACUUGAAGGGAAGGAUGAUGGACAGUGGGAUUGGGGGAGGUGGUGCCAGGGAUUUCAUCUGCAUCUGAAAUAUUUUAAUUGUGUAAAAAAAUUCUAAGGAAAGUGCUCAGGCAAAUAAGGAAAAUGUUAAAAUUUGACUUGGCUGUAUAAUGGGCACCUGGAAGUUCAUUCUAUGAUUCCUCAUAAUUUUUUUAUAUUCUGGAUGCACCUCACUAUUCACAUAAAAGGAAAGAAAGAAUAAUUCAAGUUUAAGCAAAAGGAAAUUGAGUAUUUGCACAAACACAUUAGACAUUUAGGAAUAUUUAAAUACAUUUUUGAUCUCAAACUUUGUUAACACAAGUCUAUUUAUGGAUGAAAAGCAUUAUAGAUUUAGCCCCAUUCAAGAGUGGUAAUUUAUAUGUAAACUGGUGUGCUAUGAGAUCCAGCCACUGCAGAGUCUCAUUCAAAAAAAACAUAAGUCUAAUCUCAGAAGACGGGAAAUAAUGAAGGCUCUGGCGUGGGUGUGGUUGCUGCCAUUUGGCUCCCACGCUAUAGAAAUAUGCUUGCUUGUGACUGGGGAGAUAGUAUUAUUGACAUAUGUGACAGCCAGCACAGGGAUUUGACCCACCCUUAAGAUAGAUACAUGGUAUGACUGGGCUUCCAGAGUUUCGUGUAGAUUUAUCUUCUUUGGGUAGGAUGGUAACUGAUUCACUCUCCCUGAGCAACCAUCAGGUUCCUUGCUCCUUUCCCUUUCUGCAGAGAACUCUGUGAAUUACACGAUAUUAAAUCAUUCCCAAACAUAGGAUCCAAGAUCCUACAUUACUUCUUCCUUGUCUAUUUGAAUAUGCUUAAAAUGAUGUAUUCUCUAAGUUAUGACUGUAUUUUUUUCUCCUGAUAAGGUGACCCUGUUAUUUAAUUUCUACUUUCUCCCUUGGAGUCCUGUCAUCUACACCAAAUUAUGUUUUAAUUACUCUAUUUAUAGUGUGUAGAAUCAAAAAUAUGUUCUCUUUUGGGGAGCCUGGGUGGCUCAGUCGGUUAAGUAUCCGACUUUGGCUCAGGUCAUGAUCUCAGGGUUUGUGGGUUCGAGCCCCACUCAGGCUCUGUGCUGACAGCUCAGAGCCUGGAGCCUGCUUCGGACUCUGUGUCUCCCUCUGUCUCUGCCCCUAUGCCGCUCAUGUUCUGUCUUUGUCUCUCAAAAAUAAAAAAUAAAUACGUUAAAAAAAUUUUUUUAAA
rnacentral:lncRNA from 1 species